GGCAGGGUUGGGGUAGCGCAAGUGGACUGAAGUUGAGCACCGCGCGCGCUUAUAGAGCAAAUCUCACUUUAUUAAUAAAUCCCAGCGUUCGGACAAACUGUGCUACUUUUUGACCAGUUUGAGAAGCGGUGCCCUGCUGCCAGUCUGGACCCUUUAUUUGGACUGUGUGUGUUUGAUUGAUGCUAUUUGACGGGGGAAAGUUGAGCGCGUGCUAUGGCGCGCGCGUGCCUGCGUGCGUGUGCGAGUGAGAUCUCUGAAAGCAGGUAAGCCACUGACUAACGCACAUUGCGCCUCUUCUCCAUUCCACUGUGCGUGUGACAGCGGCUAACCAGCUUUUGGACUUGGCUCUGGAGUUCUCCUGCGCUCCUGCUGACCGAGGCACUGCUUAAAGCCGCUCCCCGGAUGGCCGAGGCCUUCUCCGCGCUGCUCCCUCCUCCUCUCCAUUACUGUAGUACUUACUGUAAGUUAGCAGCCUACGUGCCACAUGUCACAGUAACGCAGUAAGUCCACAGGCUGCCUAUACGUCUCCCAGGGGUGGAGGGUGACGGGGCUUUCUGGAACAGGUAACCAGACCCUCAUGUAACGUUUCCUUUUAUGUAAUAAACAUUCUUUCCUGCUUUGACUUGUGCAGUGUGUAGUGAUUAAACUUUACAUGUUUAUUAACCCAAUAACAGUUCAGCAUUUUUGUCAGUGAUAUUGCAUGCAUAGAUCUUGAGGAUUUCUAUUCAAGCAUCACUUAAAAAGGUUUCAUGUUUAAUAAGAAACUUUACUGAAAAUCAUAAUUGUAACUGUAUUUUAAAUUAUUAAAAAAAAAACAUUUUAUAUCCUCCAAAACUUUUGUUUCAUUAUGGUUGUCUAAUUUUUAUGUCUAUUUUUAAAUUUGGGGUUGAUUCCUGUUACUGAUCUGGAGAGCUUCUCCAAGUGUCCAAAGUUUUCAGAAGGUAAAAAACGUAUUUUACUGCAGGGAAAAAGGGUUUUGUAUCAUCUACACUUGUAGCUCAUGUACAGUCCAAGGCCUGUUAAUAAACUUGAACUCAGUUUUAAAAAAGUUAAAAAAACUUCAGCUCAGCACACAGUAGUAGUUAGCCAGCUAACCUACAGCAGCUGUAAGAUACUUGUAACCAUACUUAUGCAUUUUCUGCUUCUUCGACUUCAUUAAAACUCACUUCAUGUUUGAAACUCA